UACGGAGGGUGCAAGCGUUUAAUCGGAAUUACUGGGCGUAAAGCGUGUGUAGGCGGUUCGUUAAGUCUGUUGUGAAAGCCCCGGGCUCAACCUGGGAAUGGCAAUGGAUACUGGCGAGCUAGAGUGUGUCAGAGGAUGGUGGAAUUCCCGGUGUAGCGGUGAAAUGCGUAGAGAUCGGGAGGAACAUCAGUGGCGUAAGCGAUUACCUGGGCUAGACCUGACGCUGAGGGACGAAGGCGUGGGAAGCAAACGGG
rnacentral:rRNA from 1 species